AUGUUGGCUGUCCGCAUGUAUAAAUAGCAUGUGUUAGCAAGGGCCGGGCAAGACCGGUGCCAGCCGCCGCGGUAACACCGGCGGCCCGAGUGGUGGCCACUAUUAUUGGGUCUAAAGGGUCCGUAGCCGGUUCGAUCAGUCUUCCGGGAAAUCUGACAGCUCAACUGUUAGGCUUCCGGGGGAUACUGUCGGACUUGGGACCGGGAGAGGUAAGAGGUACUACAGGGGUAGGAGUGAAAUCUUGUAAUCCUUGUGGGACCACCAGUGGCGAAGGCGUCUUACCAGAACGGAUCCGACGGUGAGGGACGAAAGCUAGGGGCACGAACCGGAUUAGAUACCCGGG
rnacentral:rRNA from 1 species